rnacentral:rRNA from 1 species
CUUAACACAUGCAAGUCGAGGGGCAGCAUGGUCUUAGCUUGCUAAGGCCGAUGGCGACCGGCGCACGGGUGAGUAACACGUAUCCAACCUGCCGUCUACUCUUGGACAGCCUUCUGAAAGGAAGAUUAAUACAAGAUGGCAUCAUGAGUCCGCAUGUUCACAUGAUUAAAGGUAUUCCGGUAGACGAUGGGGAUGCGUUCCAUUAGAUAGUAGGCGGGGUAACGGCCCACCUAGUCUUCGAUGGAUAGGGGUUCUGAGAGGAAGGUCCCCCACAUUGGAACUGAGACACGGUCCAAACUCCUACGGGAGGCAGCAGUGAGGAAUAUUGGUCAAUGGGCGAGAGCCUGAACCAGCCAAGUAGCGUGAAGGAUGACUGCCCUAUGGGUUGUAAACUUCUUUUAUAAAGGAAUAAAGUCGGGUAUGGAUACCCGUUUGCAUGUACUUUAUGAAUAAGGAUCGGCUAACUCCGUGCCAGCAGCCGCGGUAAUACGGAGGAUCCGAGCGUUAUCCGGAUUUAUUGGGUUUAAAGGGAGCGUAGAUGGAUGUUUAAGUCAGUUGUGAAAGUUUGCGGCUCAACCGUAAAAUUGCAGUUGAUACUGGAUAUCUUGAGUGCAGUUGAGGCAGGCGGAAUUCGUGGUGUAGCGGUGAAAUGCUUAGAUAUCACGAAGAACUCCGAUUGCGAAGGCAGCCUGCUAAGCUGCAACUGACAUUGAGGCUCGAAAGUGUGGGUAUCAAACAGG